AUGAAGCUGUGGCUGAACUGGGUUUUCCUUGUAACUCUUUUAAAAGGUGUCCAGUGUGAGGUGCAGCUUGUAGAGUCUGGAGGAGGCUUGGUACAGCCUGGGGGUUCCCUGAGACUCUCCUGUGCAGCCUCUGGGUUCACCUUCAGUGACUAUCAUAUGAACUGGAUUCGUCAACCUCCAGGGAAGGGACUGGAAUGGAUUGCAGUGAAUAGAAACAAAGCUAAUGGUUACACCACAGAGUACAGUGCGUCUGUGAAGGGCCGGUUCACCAUCUCCAGAGAUGAUUCCAAAAACACCCUCUACCUGCAAAUGAACAGCCUGAAAGCUGAGGACACUGCCACUUACUACUGUGCAAAAGUCGAGUUUGAACUUUACAGAAUUGAUUAG